rnacentral:rRNA from 1 species
CCUACGGGAGGCUGCAGUAGGGAAUCUUCCACAAUGGGCGAAAGCCUGAUGGAGCAACGCCGCGUGAGUGAAGAAGGUCUUCGGAUCGUAAAACCCUGUUGUUAGAGAAGAAAGCGCGUGAGAGUAACUGUUCACGUUUCGACGGUAUCUAACCAGAAAGCCCCGGCUAACUCCGUGCCAGCAGCCGCGGUAAUACGGAGGUGGCAAGCGUUAUCCGGAUUGAUUGGGCGUAAAGGGCACGCAGGCGGUCUUUUAAGUCUGAUGUGAAAGCCUUGGGCUUAACCGGAGUAGUGCAUUGGAAACUGGGAGACUUGAGUGCAGAAGAGGAGAGUGGAACUCCAUGUGUAGCGGUGAAAUGCGUAGAUAUAUGGAAGAACACCAGUGGCGAAGGCGGCUCUCUGGUCUGUAACUGACGCUGAGGUUCGAAAGCGUGGGUAGCAAACAGGAUUAGAUACCCUUGUAGUC